UACGAAGGGUGCUAGCGUUGUUCGGAAUUACUGGGCGUAAAGCGCACGUAGGCGGCUUUCUAAGUCGGGGGUGAAAUCCUGGAGCUCAACUCCAGAACUGCCUUCGAUACUGGAAAGCUCGAGUCCGGGAGAGGUGAGUGGAACUGCGAGUGUAGAGGUGAAAUUCGUAGAUAUUCGCAAGAACACCAGUGGCGAAGGCGGCUCACUGGCCCGGUACUGACGCUGAGGUGCGAAAGCGUGGGGAGCAAACAGG
rnacentral:rRNA from 1 species